GUGUCAGCAGCCGCGGUAAUACGGGGGGAGCAAGCGUUGUUCGGAUUUACUGGGCGUAAAGGGCGCGUAGGCGGCGCAACAAGUCACUUGUGAAAUCUCCGGGCUUAACUCGGAACGGUCAAGUGAUACUGUUGUGCUAGAGUGCGGAAGGGGCAACUGGAAUUCUCGGUGUAGCGGUGAAAUGCGUAGAUAUCGAGAGGAACACCUGCGGCGAAGGCGGGUUGCUGGGCCGACACUGACGCUGAUGCGCGAAAGCCAGGGGAGCGAACGGGAUUAGAUACCCCGGUAGUCC
rnacentral:rRNA from 1 species